rnacentral:snoRNA from 1 species
CCAGACUGAAAAUGACCCCAGGUGUAUCAGUGAUCUGGGGCCAGAUAGCUGUGCAUACAGUAUUGUGGUGCAUUAAGCUUAUUGUGUAAGUCUGUUACUGACUACGUGAUAAAACCCAUGUACCAACAUAG